rnacentral:rRNA from 1 species
AUUGCCCGCUGGCGGCAGGCCUAACACAUGCAAGUCGAGCGGAUGAAGGGAGCUUGCUCCUGGACUCAGCGGCGGACGGGUGAGUAAUGCCUAGGAAUCUGCCUGGUAGUGGGGGAUAACGUCCGGAAACGGGCGCUAAUACCGCAUACGUCCUGAGGGAGAAAGUGGGGGAUCUUCGGACCUCACGCUAUCAGAUGAGCCUAGGUCGGAUUAGCUAGUUGGUGGGGUAAAGGCCUACCAAGGCGACGAUCCGUAACUGGUCUGAGAGGAUGAUCAGUCACACUGGAACUGAGACACGGUCCAGACUCCUACGGGAGGCAGCAGUGGGGAAUAUUGGACAAUGGGCGAAAGCCUGAUCCAGCCAUGCCGCGUGUGUGAAGAAGGUCUUCGGAUUGUAAAGCACUUUAAGUUGGGAGGAAGGGCAGUAAGUUAAUACCUUGCUGUUUUGACGUUACCAACAGAAUAAGCACCGGCUAACUUCGUG